rnacentral:lncRNA from 1 species
AAUCUUGCUGGAGAUCCCUGCAUGCUAGAGUUCUUCUGGAGAGCUGGGUCUUGAAACUAACAACUCAUGCCAUUAAUCUUAUUGAUCUACGGUGAAGAUUUGACCCAGGGUCCGCAAGUGGGGUUUUGCUGGUGGUGCAGGGCCAUGCAAUGCAAUGGGAUGAUGCAGCCCUCAGCAGGACUAGUGUUACCACUGAUAGUAGUUGGGAAGGGAGUCAUAUGGCAACUGAUCUCACUGCUCUUGAGUCCCCUCUAAAAAUGCUUGCACUUCCCCAAGAAUACAAUAUAGGUGAGGCAGAAUUGUUGGAUGGAAUGGGAAUUAGGAAAGGAAUGGUUAUGGACAGACUUGCUUAUUUUGCUCCAGUCAGAGUUGGCUCAGCAGAGCCUGUCUAGUGCUGAGCUGGUAACCAUUAGAUUUGCAUUCCUGCAGGUAAAUGCAAGCUAGCAGCAGAUUGCUAGCUAGCUAGAAUUUUAGCUAGCAGAUGGGUUGUCUAAACUUGAAGCUCUACCAUGCUAACUGCAUUGCAGACCUGUCUCAUCUGUGGAACUUUUCUGGCCUAGGGGGCCCUGCCCUGUUCCACCAGUAAAACCCAAUAUGCAGAGGGCUGUAAUCAGCACUGCCAGACACAGCUCUUGCUCAGGUGAAAAUCUAUCCACAACCAGAGUUGCUGUGACAUAGCAGCUUUCUAGGGAAGCUUCUGGAGGGCAAUUUUUUAGCCAGCCUCUAGUACAACCUUGGAAAAUGUCAAUUAAGCCCUGUUGUCAUUCCAUUUCUCUUCAAUGCGGCUUCAGUAAAGAGUGAUACUCUUCACUCCAGAUAGUUAACUAACUCAUUAGUCUUACUUCUUUGCUCUACUGUCAUGACACCUCUAGAUGUUCCUCCUUGUUUUGACAGGGUUGAGGAUCAAUUUGUUUUCCAGAUUUUUGGGGUGUUUCUUAAAAGAAUUUGAUGGAACACCUGUGAUUUCAUCUGGAAGCUGCUUUUAUCCUCUGUGUAUAGAACAGAACGCCCUUCAGUUCAUGUGUCUAUCAGCUGUUGGUUGGGCCCAGCAGAGAUCCCUGCCUUUUCUACAGACGUGAUUACUCUUGAUAAAAGUCUGAUUUUUUCAGAUUCAAAUAUUACAGAAUCUCCCAAUGCUUGUUCCAUUUCCUUGUGCCUUUAUAUCAUUCAUCACUUGCACAACAAGUUGUGCUGUUAUCAACACCAGACCAUUAAAUAGAGAUCCAACCAUCAUUUCUCUGCAGAACAACUCUCAUGAAGAAAACAGUCAACUGUUUCCCUCAUCUUUCCUCUAAAUAAAACAUCACAAAAGUUAAGACAUCUGCUAGUUCAACCCAGUAUUUGUUAAUUUACACCUUUAGCUUGCAUAAGUGUACAAGAUGGAUUAAAAUUGGGGUAGUACUGUACUUCAUUAUAAAUAUAAGCUUCUGUGAUAUGGUUUUCAGGAUAUUCUGUCAUUAUCUAUUAUUCCACCCCAAUAAAUCUUUAAACAUGCGUAUUAUGUGGCUAUAUUUCUUGAGAUUUCUGAUGUAUGGAUAUUUUAAUGGCAUCUACAGUAGUGCUUAAAUGAGGAUAAAGAAAUAAAAUUUAUGGAUUUCAGAUGCUUCCAUGCUUAAAAGCAAGCUGAAAUAUAUAUGAAAGCAUGUAAGUGAUGAAGUGUAAUGAACUGCAAUUGCUUUGCAUUUGGGAUUUUCAAACAUUUUUAAACAACAGGAAAAGAACUGAGAUAAGCGCUGGAAAGAGUCAUCCUAAGAGAUGGUACGUGUACCAGAAC